UACGAAGGGGGCUAGCGUUGUUCGGAUUUACUGGGCGUAAAGCGCACGUAGGCGGAUCGUUAAGUCGGGGGUGAAAUCCUGGAGCUCAACUCCAGAACUGCCUUCGAUACUGGCGAUCUUGAGUCCGGAAGAGGUGAGUGGAACUCCUAGUGUAGAGGUGGAAUUCGUAGAUAUUAGGAAGAACACCAGUGGCGAAGGCGGCUCACUGGCUCGUAACUGACGCUCAUGCACGACAGCGUGGGGAUCAAACAGG
rnacentral:rRNA from 1 species